UACCAGCACCCCGAGUGGUCGGGACGAUUAUUGGGCCUAAAGCAUCCGUAGCCGGCCUUACAAGUCCUCCGUUAAAUCCAGCUGCUUAACAGAUGGGCUGCGGAGGAUACUAUAAGACUAGGAGGCAGGAGAGGCAAGCGGUACUCAGUGGGUAGGGGUAAAAUCCGUUGAUCCAUUGAAGACCACCAGUGGCGAAGGCGGCUUGCCAGAACGCGCUCGACGGUGAGGGAUGAAAGCUGGGGGAGCGAACAGG
rnacentral:rRNA from 1 species